rnacentral:lncRNA from 13 species
GUACUACAGACAACAUCAGGCUGGGUUAGAGCAGGGUACUACAGACAACAUCAGGCUGGGUUAGAGCAGGGUACUACAGACAUCAUCAGGUUGGGUUAGAGCAGGGUACUACAGACAUCAUCAGGUUGGGUUAGAGCAGGGUACUACAGACAUCAUCAGGUUGGGUUAUAGCAGUGUACUACAGACAACAUCAGGCUGGGUUAGAGCAGGGUACUACAGACAACAUCAGGCUGGGUUAGAGCAGGGUACUACAGACAACAUCAGGCUGGGUUAGAGCAGGGUACUACAGACAUCAUCAGGUUGGGUUAGAGCAGGGUACUACAGACAUCAUCAGGUUGGGUUAGAGCAGGGUACUACAGACAUCAUCAGGUUGGGUUAUAGCAGUGUACUACAGACAACAUCAGGCUGGGUUAGAGCAGGGUACUACAGACAUCAUCAGGUUGGGUUAGAGCAGGGUACUACAGACAUCAUCAGGUUGGGUUAGAGUAGGAGUGACAACCUUUUUGGCUCAAGGGCCACAUCGGG